rnacentral:lncRNA from 1 species
CCCUUUUCCAUUUUCUGGUAAAACACAUUUUAUAAUUCCCCAGAAAUCUAGUUUCCAUACAUCAUCAAAAACAACCACAUACCUUUUAUCUUGUAAAUAUCCCCUGGUUAGAGUAAUCAGUGACAUCUCGUCUGUUGUAUCAAGACCCUCAGGGACUGCCUCCUUCCUUGAUUGAUAGAAUUUCUUUGACAUGUUCCGCAGUAGCUCUUCCAUCUUGAAUGACUGAGACACAGUGAUCCAAGCAGAGCAAUCAAAGUAUCCCACUAAUUCCUUGUUGUCAUAUACUUUCUUGGCAAGAGUGGUCUUGCCAAGUCCGCCCAUGC